GACGAACGCUGGCGGCGUGCCUAAUACAUGCAAGUAGAACGCUGAAGAGAGGAGCUUGCUCUUCUUGGAUGAGUUGCGAACGGGUGAGUAACGCGUAGGUAACCUGCCUUGUAGCGGGGGAUAACUAUUGGAAACGAUAGCUAAUACCGCAUAACAAUAGAUGUUGCAUGUUAUUUACUUAAAAGGUGCAAUUGCUCCACUACCAGAUGGACCUGCGUUGUAUUAGCUAGUAGGUGAGGUAACGGCUCACCUAGGCGACGAUACAUAGCCGACCUGAGAGGGUGAUCGGCCACACUGGGACUGAGACACGGCCCAGACUCCUACGGGAGGCAGCAGUAGGGAAUCUUCGGCAAUGGGCGGAAGCCUGACCGAGCAGCGCCGCGUGAGUGAAGAAGGUUUUCGGAUCGUAAAGCUCUGUUGUAAGUGAAGAACGGGUGUGAGAGUGGAAAGUUCACACUGUGACGGUAGCUUACCAGAAAGGGACGGCUAACUACGUG
rnacentral:rRNA from 1 species